rnacentral:rRNA from 1 species
CCUACGGGAGGCAGCAGUGAGGAAUAUUGGUCAAUGGACGAGAGUCUGAACCAGCCAAGUAGCGUGAAGGAUGACUGCCCUAUGGGUUGUAAACUUCUUUUAUAUGGGAAUAAAAUGUUCCACGUGUGGGAUUUUGUAUAUACCAUAUGAAUAAGGAUCGGCUAACUCCGUGCCAGCAGCCGCGGUAAUACGGAGGAUCCGAGCGUUAUCCGGAUUUAUUGGGUUUAAAGGGAGCGUAGGUGGAUUGUUAAGUCAGUUGUGAAAGUUUGCGGCUCAACCGUAAAAUUGCAGUUGAAACUGGCAGUCUUGAGUACAGUAGAGGUGGGCGGAAUUCGUGGUGUAGCGGUGAAAUGCUUAGAUAUCACGAAGAACUCCGAUUGCGAAGGCAGUUCACUGGACUGCAACUGACACUGAGGCUCGAAAGUGUGGGUAUCAAACAGGAUUAGAUACCCCUGUAGUC